CACCCCCCCAAAAGGAAAAAAAAAAAAAAAGCAGCAGGAUUUCUUGUAAUUCUUGAUUUGCUUUGAAGAGUCAAAGAAAAUGGAGAGAUCUUCACUCAAAGUGGCCUUCUUGUUGGUCCUCUUCGUUAGUAGCUUAUGUUAUGUACAUGGAACUGAUCCCAAUAAGCAGAAAUGUGAUGAAGAGAUUUGCAUAAGAAAGUGCCCUGGUGAAUGCUAUACUCUGUGUACUGUUGAAGGGCAGUGUCGGUGCAAGCUUAGUGAAAGGGAGAGUUUUCCUUGCGAUGGCUAAAAAAAGACCAUCCAUCUUCUGUAUUCCAAUAAUAAUAAGCACAUCAGUUUAGUUUUCCAAUAAAACGGGCCGGGACUACUGUCUAUAUAUCCAUCUCUAUACCAGUACA